UCUCCACUUAGACUCUGACCUCUCACCUGAGACAACACACCAUGAGUGACUUCCAGAUGUAGAAGCCUGACCAUUACAGAUGGGGAAAGACUGAGAACUUAUUAUCCGUGAGUUACUAAUAAGAAAAAAAAAAGAUUCCUGCUUCUAGAACUUUUAAGCCUCAAGAAAUUGCAUCGCAAAGAAUUUUUAUAACCUUAAAGAAGAGAGAAUUGGAAUACUCAAACUUGGCUACUCUGGCAGGGGUUAUGCUGUAAGAAAGCCGUUGGGGGAAAAAAAACCAC